CCCACAUAUCCGAUGGAGUGCACUGUCAUUGAAGGGCAAUACAAAUCAAAUGAGAAGAGUCAUUUUCGUUGUCAUGAGCCCCUAAGACCCGCUGCAGAACUAUACGUAUCAGAUUAUCUACGACUGACGUACCAGGAUGUACAUGGCAGCAUUUCACAUCAAUGAAAACAGCCUAAAUACCCUAGAAGUGACCAAGACGGGAGAACCAAAGAGGGCAAACCAUUAACCCCUAGGGCUAAACAAAGAGGCCAAGCCAGUGAACAAGAGACCAACACGUGAGUAUGUGGAAUUCCUACUCAGGGCCAUUCUCGAGAGAAGAAACAUGUUUCCUUCCUACAGACUUGCAGGACACAACAGCCUAUUUUUCCAGGGUAUUCUGCCAGACACUUUCAUUUUUAACUAGUAAACAGGAACUGGUGAAUUCAAUGACAUCAAGAUAUAAAAUGAA
rnacentral:lncRNA from 1 species